GAGUUUUGAUCCUGGCUCAGGAUGAACGCUAGCUACAGGCUUAACACAUGCAAGUCGAGGGGAAACGAUAUUGGAAGCUUGCUUCCGAUAGGCGUCGACCGGCGCACGGGUGAGUAACGCGUAUCCAACCUGCCCACCACUUGGGGAUAACCUUGCGAAAGUAAGACUAAUACCCAAUGAUAUCUCUAGAAGACAUCUGAAAGAGAUUAAAGAUUUAUCGGUGAUGGAUGGGGAUGCGUCUGAUUAGCUUGUUGGCGGGGUAACGGCCCACCAAGGCAACGAUCAGUAGGGGUUCUGAGAGGAACGGUCCCCCACAUUGGAACUGAGACACGGUCCAAACUCAUACGGGAGGCAGAA
rnacentral:rRNA from 1 species